rnacentral:rRNA from 1 species
AACGCGAAGAACCUUACCUGGUCUUGACAUCCACGGAAGUUUUCAGAGAUGAGAAUGUGCCUUCGGGAACCGUGAGACAGGUGGUGCAUGGCUGUCGUCAGCUCGUGUUGUGAAAUGUUGGGUUAAGUCCCGCAACGAGCGCAACCCUUAUCCUUUGUUGCCAGCGGUCCGGCCGGGAACUCAAAGGAGACUGCCAGUGAUAAACUGGAGGAAGGUGGGGAUGACGUCAAGUCAUCAUGGCCCUUACGACCAGGGCUACACACGUGCUACAAUGGCGCAUACAAAGAGAAGCGACCUCGCGAGAGCAAGCGGACCCAUAAAGUGCGUCGUAGUCCGGAUUGGAGUCUGCAACUCGACUCCAUGAAGUCGGAAUCGCUAGUAAGCGUGAUCAGAAUGCCA